rnacentral:lncRNA from 1 species
AUGGAAUACCAUUGUCAUGCAAAUAAAGGACGCGUAAAAUAUCCCCCUCGCGCGCACUGCAGAGCAGAGACUCACUGGGAUCGCACGAAGGACGCGAAGCACGGGGCACGCGGGGAAGUUCAUACUACGUCGUCGCCAGAACCCGUCCAAUUGUCACAGCCACCCUUGCCAGACGAACUGCGGCGGCUCCAGGAUCCUGCAGGCAAGUGGGUAAAAUCGCAAGAAGAACCAACCUGCCCAGAUUCAACUGCAUUUUAUUCACCUUGUUUGGAGAUAACCGUGGCCGUUCUUCCAGAAUACCUACAGAAGAAAAGUUUCAACUGUCGCUCUGCUCCAUCUCUGCAAUAUAACAUAUACUACCUGUUGCUGCUAGUAACAACGGAGGAGAAGAGGGGGAGACUACACCUUGCGACACUUGGAUCUCUUAUAAACACACUUUGUAGGGAGUUGGAUUUCGCAACCUUUAAUAUUUUGCACACCAAGUGUGUUAUUUUGUCUAUGUCCAUUUUGGGAUAUUAGUGGUUUUACCAUAUCUAUAGUAUACACGUUUUUAAAGUGCCUUACAACUGGUAUUAAUCCAGUAUUUGGGGGGUAUUCCAACGCCAGAGACUCCAAUCAGUGACUAUCAGAUAGAAAAGCACAGGAUCUAUCUCUAUAUCCCGGUUUCACCAUGAGUCAAGGGGAUGUAUCAACUUGCUCUGCGCCUCAGAUCGUAUUCCAAGAGGCGGUGAAGCAAGGCAACACAAAGGAACUCCACUCGUUGCUCCAGAACAUGACAAACUGCGAAUUCAAUGUCAACUCCUUCGGGCCCGAAGGACAGACGGCGUUGCAUCAGUCAGUCAUCGAUGGGAAUCUCGAACUUGUAAAACUGCUGGUGAAAUUCGGAGCCGAUAUUCGAUUGGCGAACAGGGAAGGGUGGAGUGCCUUACACAUUGCCGCUUUUGGAGGACAUCAAGACAUAGUCCUAUACCUCAUCACUAAGGCAAAGUACUCCUCUGGCGCACGGUGAUCUGCUACACUGCUGUCAG